AGUGAACGCUGGCGGUAGGCCUAACACAUGCAAGUCGAACGGCAGCACAGUAAGAGCUUGCUCUUACGGGUGGCGAGUGGCGGACGGGUGAGGAAUACAUCGGAAUCUACUUUUUCGUGGGGGAUAACGUAGGGAAACUUACGCUAAUACCGCAUACGACCUACGGGUGAAAGCAGGGGAUCUUCGGACCUUGCGCGAUUGAAUUAGCCGAUGUCGGAUUAGAUAGUUGGCGGGGUAAAGGCCCACCAAGGCGACGAUCCGUAGCUGGUCUGAGAGGAUGGUCGCCGGCCUGGGAGGUGAGCCAGCCACCAGGGGCCUAAGGGAGGGACCAGACGGGUACGGUAGGCAACGGUGGGAAGUAUGGUACAACGAGCGGAAGCCGGAGACGGCAGCCUCGCGGUCGUGAUGACGGCUUGCUGGGAGAAAACAGCUUCCGCCUGAGACGAAGCUGGUGUGACGGUACUGAAUAAAUAAGCACCGGCUAACUACGUG
rnacentral:rRNA from 1 species